UACGAAGGGUGCAAGCGUUACUCGGAAUUACUGGGCGUAAAGGGUGCGUAGGCGGUUAGUUAAGUCUGUCGUGAAAUCCCCGGGCUCAACCUGGGAAUGGCGAUGGAUACUGGCUAGCUAGAGUGUGUCAGAGGAUGGUGGAAUUCCCGGUGUAGCGGUGAAAUGCGUAGAGAUCGGGAGGAACAUCAGUGGCGAAGGCGGCCAUCUGGGACAACACUGACGCUGAAGCACGAAAGCGUGGGGAGCAAACAGG
rnacentral:rRNA from 1 species